rnacentral:lncRNA from 1 species
AGAACCAAUUGGUUUCACAGGCAAGCAUGUUGUCCAUGCAGCUCACGCUAUUUUGGAGGGAAAAUACAAUACACACAGAGACCAGACUUUGGAGGAAUGAGGCCGGCCUUCUGUCAUCUUGGGAAAUGGUAAGAAAGAAAUGGUCCUGGAGAAGGCACAGUAUGUCCUGGGCAAAGGUUGGGGAGCUACAUUGAGGACGUGGGCUUGAGCUGGUCCUUUCAGGAAUAGAGCUUAUGAUUUGGAUCCUCAAAACUCUUCAAUCGCAGACCCAGAAACAAGAAUUUAUGAUGAUUAGUUUGCCGAGAGCCAGGAAUUGAGAAACCUGUACUUACUUUGUUGAGAAAUUUUAAUAUCAUCCCAAGUGGCAAAAAUAUGCCCGGAGGAAGCUCUGGGAGGAUAACAGAGUGUUGCUCUCAGGAUAGAGUGUUGAAGUACUUCUUCCUGUUAGAUUUUCCAGAAGGUUAUAUGAGGAUGUGAUGGCAAGAAUAGAGUGGGCUAUUCACCCUGCUCAUGAAUCAAGGUCUCUGACACUUUGGCAUUGAACACACAAGAUGUGGACUGAUUCACAGUCUGAGGUUAGUGUAUUCAUGUGGGAGCUCUCAUCAUGCAUUUUAAGAAGCCUGGACAGGUGUUGGUUUAUGGGAGAUGUUAGGUGUUAGUGUUUAUGGUCAAACUUUUUUAUGCUAAGUAGAACGGACUACAUUGUCAGAUAAGAGCUGACAAUACCCUCCAAUUCUUCUUGCAUGGGAGAGCUUAUGCAUUUCAGGGCUAGGUGAAUUGCAAUAGGGAGGGAGGAAUAUGCUUAAUGAUGGUGAUUGGGAACAGGGAUCUAGCUGAGGAGCCCAGCCUGAAGAUAGCUUUCCUGCUCUUUCAGGGAUUCUCUGUGACUCUAGAUUUUCCUCUUCCUGAGACUUCUGUGUGGGACAAAGCAUGUUGUCUCCAUUCCCUGCCCUAUUAUCUCUACGAGUUUACUAGUGUUGGUCAACCUACAUGGUCUGUUGGAAAGGCAUCACCCCAAGCCUCCACCACCAAUAAGCAGGAUCAGAGAAUGAAGAGGAUGGAGAAGCUCAAAAGGGAUCUCCAGAAGAUCAAAAAUGGGAGAGACAACUCCAGGGAAUCCUAGUCAAUUACACUAACAAGGAUUUGAACAACAGAUGUGCCAUCACAGGUCUAUAAGGAUGACAAACAGAACUCUCCAGUGGAAUGGGAACACUCUGGCCGUACAGUCUUAUUCUGACAAAGGCUCGAGAAUUCAAGAUUACGAACCAUAAAACUAGAGCAAAUCUGUGUGUAGGACACUAUUGGCUCAUCAAGCCUGGGAUGCACCAGGGCAUACAGUAGGCACAUAUUUGUUGUAAGGAAUCCCUACAGGAAUGAGAAGACAUGAUGAAGACGCCAAGAUCAUCCCUCUAAAAAUAAGAACUGAGAAUGUUAACUCGUCAA